rnacentral:rRNA from 1 species
GACGAACGCUGGCGGCGUGCUUAACACAUGCAAGUCGAACGAGUGGCGAACGGGUGAGUAAUACGUGAGUAACCUGCCCUCUUUUUGGGAUAAGCCUUGGAAACGGGGUCUAAUACCGGAUAAAGGGGGAUGGGAUGGCGGCCUAUCAGCUUGUUGGUGGGGUGGUGGCCUACCAAGGCGGUGACGGGUAGCCGGCCUGAGAGGGUGACCGGCUCUAGUGAUACUGAGAUACGGCCCAGACUCCUACGGGAGGCAGCAGUGGGGGAUAUUGCCCAAUGGGCGAAAGUCUGAUGCAGCGACGCCGCGUGGGGGAUGCAGGCUUUCGGGUUGUACACUUCGUUCGCUACCGAAAGGGUAGGUGGAGAAGAAGCGCCGGCUAACUACGUGCCAGCAGCCGCGGUAAUUC